GACGAACGCUGGCGGCGUGCUUAACACAUGCAAGUCGAACGGAAAGGCCCUGCUUUUGUGGGGUGCUCGAGUGGCGAACGGGUGAGUAACACGUGAGUAACCUGCCCUUGACUUUGGGAUAACUUCAGGAAACUGGGGCUAAUACCGGAUAGGAGCUCCUGCUGCACGGGGGGGGAUGGAAAGUUUCGGCGGUUUGGGAUGGACUCGCGGCUUAUGCGCUUGUUAGUGGGGUAGGGGCUUACCAAGGCUUUGACGGGUAGCCGGCCUGGGAGGGUGCCCGGCCACAUUGGGACUGAGAUACGGCCCAGACUCCAACGGGAGGCAACAGUGGGGAAUAUUGCACAAUGGGCGGAAGCCUGAUGCAGCGACGCCGCGUGCGGGAUGACGGCCUUCGGGUUGUAAACCGCUUUCGCCUGUGACGAAGCGUGAGUGACGGUAAUGGGUAAAGAAGCACCGGCUAACUACGUG
rnacentral:rRNA from 1 species